rnacentral:lncRNA from 10 species
UCUGGUGUUGUGGCAACUUGGAGGAGGGGAAGCGAAGAUGCAGUCAGAAAUUUCCAUGAGUGAGCUGUCAUACAGCAGCAAUGUAGAGUGUUAGAGGACAUGUCAGAACUCUGAGAUAGCUACUCAGGAAGUGUCAACAUUUCAAAGCCGUAUUCAUCAACACUAUCAUGCAAAGUAAACUCACAUUAACAGAUAUUGAAAAACAUUGAAACUUUUCAUAUUAUCUGAACUAAACAUUGUAGAAUGAAUAGAAGUACAAUUAUGAAAAGUUAAUUUUAAGGCCGGGCGCGGUGGCUCAUGCCUGUAAUCCCA